UUCGUAUCAACAAAUCUGUGUACGAGUUAAUAACGCACCCUGGGUUCCCUGCAUUUUCAGUGACAGAGAACCAGAUAUAAGAAUGCAGGGAAACAAGCCUUGUUACAAGGUUUGAGGGUCUCUGCUAGAAUCAUGUGGACCCCAGUGUAACACAUCUAUGGAAAGAGAGAAAAUCUCAGCUCAAGGGUCAACAUGUCUUUAUUCCAAGAAAGAGUGUACAUAUGCCAGAAUCAUAUGGACCGCAGACUGGCCCUGGUGAUUCCGUUAAGAAAAAAGAGGAAAAAUCAGUGCUUGUGCUCAUUGGUCAUUGGACAAAGGGUGUAUGCCAGAAUUUUUUGAAGAACAGUCUGAAUCUGACAUGGAAAAAAUGAAGAAAAACAGCCUUCCUGUUUAUAAAUCUACAUUCUGACAAAGGAUCAUUUCCUUGAGAUAGGUGGAACCAACAGUCAAAUCCAGACACCUUUAAGAAAAGUAAAAAUCUGACUCAGGUAA